rnacentral:rRNA from 1 species
UUGCACCUACGGGGGGCAGCAGUGAGGAAUAUUGGUCAAUGGGCGUAAGCCUGAACCAGCCACGUCGCGUGAGGGAUGAAGGUUCUAUGGAUCGUAAACCUCUUUUAUAAGGGAAUAAAGUGCGGGACGUGUCCCGUUUUGUAUGUACCUUAUGAAUAAGGAUCGGCUAACUCCGUGCCAGCAGCCGCGGUAAUACGGAGGAUCCGAGCGUUAUCGGGAAUUAUUGGGUUUAAAGGGUGCGUAGGCGGCCUUCUAAGUCAGCGGUGAAAGUCUGUGGCUCAACAAUAGAAUUGCCGUUGA